GAGCGCGAGAUAGUCUGAUAAACCCACGUACUGUUAUCAUGUCAAGCAGUUAAACGAUAUAACUUGUAUCUCCGUCAAAAAUAUCAAAGUCGAGAUUUGCCCGGCUUUGGCGGUCAGACACGUACACUACGUGUGUAUUUAUUGAUAGACUUGGUAUUUUGUAUCAUUUAACCAUGCAAGUCUUCACUUCUAUAUAUAACGUCAGGGGUGACAUAAGCUGCGGAGGCUGAUUCGGACAAGAAAGGCCGGGAUUACCUCCCUUGGCUUGCCUUCAGGAGGUAAACAACCAUUCAGCAUGUAAACGCAUGAUCAGACCAGACGAAAAGUAACAGUGAGAACCACUUGCAGCGAUGUUCACUUCCACAAAUGAGACAAGUAUUUACAGCUUUCACCGGAUUCCGAUGGAAAAACUUUUAUCUUAAAUGAAAAAAUAAACAUUAAAAAAAAUAUAUGAUGUCGCGGACCAAGACAAAGAAAGCGUAAAAUGCGUUUCAAGAGUGCCUUAUUUGAUGAGCAUAGAUAACUACUACCUACAAAAUUGAUUAUUUCUUUUUCUGUUCCAUUUCGAUUUAAAUUGACCUUAAGAACAACCACAAUUGUUAUAUAAUAUAUUUCAUAAUUCACACAUAUAUAUAACACCAUUUAAUAUAUUGAUGUGUUAAAUCGUAAAAACAAUGUAAGUAUACCAUAUAUAUUUAUAUAUGAACGGUCUUUCAUUUACAUUGUAAACAAUUAUGCCUAUUGUUCAUUUUAUCAUUAAAUGUAUGAAAUCAAA